UUUAAAUCAAUUUUUAAUUGUUGAAUAGAAAAUGAGAGGCCAGACAUUUUGUAAUAUGUAUUUAUAAUAAUCAAGUUAAAAAUUAAAUACGGAAACCGGGGUUGGUUGUUACAGGGGCUGGUUGUUACACUUAGUUUAAAUCGCGCGUCAACAUCGAUGCAGCGCCAUUACAUCAAUUGUCAAUUCGUUGUUUACCGGCAACCGAGCAGUGUAGUUCUGCUGUUCCAUUGCUCAUAUUUAUUCGAUAAAUGCAGUGUGUGUGUCUUCUAACCUUGAAAGCAAUUAUUAGUUUACCGGACUUUACCGCGAAUUUAUUUUAUCAUUUUUCCUGUGUAAGUGGAAUAGAUUUGCUAUAUCGUAAGGAAAUACAUCUAAAUGCGAUAAUAUGAGAAACUUCAAAAGAAAAACCGACAAGGGACGUAUACCACUAGACACCUUUCGUAUUGCUGCAAAAGAAGUAUUGGAAAAUUAAAGAUCUCUUAGGACGGUUGCUGAACAAUAUGGUGUAAAUUUCAUGACCCUGCAGAGAUAUUGCAAAAAAAUUAAAAAUAAAAAGCUAAAUGAUCCGGAUCCUACGGUUGGCUAUACAAGGAACCGUCAAAUUUUAUCUGAUGCGAUGGAAGCUGAGCUAGAGAAGUACUUAAUAGAGUGUUCUAAAAUGUAUUUUGGUCUGUCAACCAAAGAAGUUCGAAGAUUGGGAUUUGAAUUUGCUAUUAAGAACAACGUUGAAAUUCAUCAAGCUUGGCAUGAAAACUCAAUGGCCUCAGGAGACUGGUUAUCUGGAUUUCUUAAGCGUCAUCCAAAGCUAUCUUUGCGGACUCCCGAAGCAACCAUUCUGAGCAGAGCAACGAGCUUCAAUCGGGAAAAUGUAUACAGAUUUUUUGAUCUAUUGGAGGAAGUCAUGGAUAGGUACAAAUUUGAAUGCUAAGAUAUUUACAACGUAGAUGAGACGGGGAUUACUACGGUCCAAAAACCAGACAGAAUAAUAGCAAAUAAGGGUGUAAAACAAGUGGGGAGUGUGACUUCUGCCGAAAGAGGUGCUUUAGUUACAAUAGCCCUGGCUGUAGGUGCUAGUGGAAAUACAGUUCCUCCAAUAUUUGUUUUCCCUAGAAAAAACUAUAAAAGUUAUUUUGUUGCAAAUGGCCCAAGCGGAUGUAUUGGAACUGCAAACAAAUCAGGCUGGAUGAUCCAAGAGGACUUGGUCAAAUUUCUUGAACAUUUCAUAAAGCAUACAAGGUGUUCAAAAGAACGACCAGUUUUGUUAAUCCUAGACAAUCACGACUUACAUCUUUCAAUUAGAGGAAUAGAUAUUUGUAGGCAAAAUGGUGUUAUAAUUUUAUCUCUAAAGUCCAGUGCGACGAUAUAUUAGAAUGAUCACCCGUCAAAACACCAGCAUUUUACUUCUCAAACAAUGUAAAUAGAAGGUGGAUGACAUUGUUUGGUAGGUGGAAUGCUGGUGUUUUGACGGGUGACCAUUCUAAUAUAUCGUUGCACUGGACUUUACCUCCACACUGUUCCCAUAAACUUCAGCCCUUAGACAGGUCCGUCUAUGGCCCACUGAAGAAAUAUGUUAAUAGUUAGAAAAUGAUAAUAAUCCUCCCGGAAAUGAAGAAACUGUUAUAGAGAAGGCAAUAAAUAGUAUUGAAACCUCCAGAGAUGGCUUAAAAACGCCUGAACCUAAGGAAUUUGAAGUUGUUGCCGUUUCAAAAUCCCCUACUACUUCAAAUAUCCCGCCGUCUUUUGCCCCUAAUUCCAAACAUCCUCCAAAUACCAACUAGAGUUGAGUCGCCGAAGCCUGGUUCUUCACAUGAUAUAUCGCCGAAGACUGGUUAUUCACGUGAUAUAUCGCCGAGGCCUGAUUGUCCACAGGAUACCAAAAGUAAUACGCUCUAUUUCAGCCCUUCAGAUAUACGUCCAUUUCCAAAAGCUGGAAUUCGUAAAACUAAUUUCAGGGGUCGUAAAGUCGCUAUCCUAACCGAUACUCCGAACAAAACAGAACUUGAAUUGGAACAAGAAAAACGAAAUGCCAGAAAAAAGAAACAAGAGUUAAAAAUUAUCAGAGUUAAUCUUACAGGAAACACAAAAGGAAAACAAAUAAAAAAGUGUAAAAAACCUGCUGAAGGCGAAUCGAGUGGUGAUGAAGAUGACCCCUUUUGCUUGGUUUGCUUUGGACUUUAUUCAAAAUCAAAGCCGGCUGAAGAAUGGAUCAGAUGUACCAAAUGUCACCAAUGGGCUCAUAGUCUCUGUGUAGAUGCCGAUUUGUUCUUUGUCUGUAUCAACUGUGACUCAGAUGACGAUGCUUAAUGGUGUAACAACCAACCCGAAGGAUAUAACAACCAACCCCGUUACGGGGUUGGUUGUUACAUUUGUCAUUACUUGUUAUAACCAUUGACAGUUUAUUUUGUGUUUAAUAUAUAUUUAUUUUGCAUUAUUUGUUAGUUACAGAAAAGUAUAAGCUAAAUAAAACUAUUAUAAGAUGUUCAUAAAGUUUCAAUAAAAUAAAAUUACAAGUA